CCCUUGAUAGCUCAGUUGGCAGAGCGAUGGACUGUAAUUGAUAUUAAAAAACACUUGUUAUCCACAGGUCGCCGGUUCAAAUCCGGCUCGAGGGA